rnacentral:rRNA from 1 species
UACGAAGGGGGCUAGCGUUGCUCGGAUUGACUGGGCGUAAAGAGCUCGUAGGCGGUGUGUCGCGUCGGCCGUGAAAACCUGCAGCUUAACUGUGGGCGUGCGGUCGAUACGGGCAUCACUGGAGUUCGGCAGGGGAGACUGGAAUUCCUGGUGUAGCGGUGAAAUGCGCAGAUAUCAGGAGGAACACCGGUGGCGAAGGCGGGUCUCUGGGCCGAUACUGACGCUGAGGAGCGAAAGCGUGGGGAGCGAACAGG